UACAGAGGGUGCAAGCGUUAAUCGGAAUUACUGGGCGUAAAGCGAGCGUAGUCGGUUAUUUAAGUCGGAUGUGAAAUCCCCGGGCUCAACCUGGGAAUUGCAUUCGAUACUGGAUAGCUAGAGUUCGGCAGGAGGGAAGCGGAAUUUCUGGUGUAGCGGUGAAAUGCGUAGAUAUCAGAAGGAACAUCAGUGGCGAAAGCGGCUCCUGGACCAGAACUGACGAUCAGGCUCGAAAGCGUGGGGAGCAAACAGG
rnacentral:rRNA from 1 species